AUUGAACGCUGGCGGCAGGCCUAACACAUGCAAGUCGAGCGAGCGGCGGCCGGGUGCGAAUGUCUGGGAAACUGCCUGAUGGAGGGGGAUAACUAUUGGAAACGGUAGCUAAUCCCGAAUACCAUCAGAUCUGCCCAGAUGGGAUUAGCUCGUAGGUGUGGUAACGGCUCACCUAGUAGACGAUCCCUAGCUGGUCUGAGAGGAUGACCAGCCACCCUGGCACGGAGACACGGUCCAGACUCCUACGUGAGGAAUCAGUGGGGAAUAUUGCACAAUGUGCGCAAGCCUUAUGCAGCCCUGCCGCGUGUGUGAAGAAGGCCUUCGGGUUGUAAAGCACUUUCAGCGGGGAGGCUUUACCCGCAGAAGAAGCACCGGCUAACUCCGUGCCAGCCGCCGCGGUAAUUC
rnacentral:rRNA from 1 species